AGAGUUUGAUCCUGGCUCAGAACGAACGCUGGCGGCACGCCUAACACAUGCAAGUCGAGCGCUACCUUCGGGUGGAGCGGCGGACGGGUUAGUAACGCGUGGGAACAUACCCUUUUCUACGGAAUAGCCUAUGGAAACGAAGAGUAAUACCGUAUACGCCCUUCGGGGGAAAGAUUUAUCGGUUAAGGAUUGGCCCGCGUUAGAUUAGAUAGUUGGUGGGGUAAUGGCCUACCAAGUCUACGAUCUAUGGCUGGUUUGAGAGGAUGAUCAGCAACACUGGGACUGAGACACUGCCCAGACUCCUACGGGAGGCAGCAGUGGGGAAUCUUAGACAAUGGGCGAAAGCCUGAUCUAGCGAUGCCGCGUGAGUGAAGAAGGCCCUAGGGUCGUAAAGCUCUUUCGCCAGGGAUGAUAAUGACAGUACCUGGUAAAGAAGUUCCGGCUAACUCCGUGCCAGCAGCCGCGGUAAUACGGAGGGAACUAGCGUUGUUCGGAAUUACUGGGCGUAAAGCGCACGUAGGCGGAUCAGAA
rnacentral:rRNA from 1 species